rnacentral:tRNA from 1 species
GGUGGGACGGGCUCCGCGCUGGGUGCAUCCGGCGUCGGCGGCGCCGAGACCGGUGUGGUGUCGUCGGCCGGGUUCGGCACCUGGCUCUGCCACCA